AUGGCUGUUUUCAGUAACACAACUGCCCUCAGAGAAACAGAAAUAGUUACAAUAUACAUCGGAUUUGGAACCUGGAUCCAAGAUCAGCUUCCUGGCAAAGCUGCUGGUGUUGGAGUAGGUGCCAAAGGUGCUCUAGUCGAAGAAGUUAAGGGGGAUGCUAAUCUCCUCAAUAAUGUCAAUUUUACUUUCAUCGAGGCUGCUCCUGCUGAGGAUGGCGACGACUUGGAUCUCUUUGGUGAAGAGACAGAGGAGGACCAGAAGGCUGCAGAAGAGAGGGAGGCAGCCAAAAAGGCAUUCACAAAGAAGAAAGAAAUUCAAUAUCUUGGCUUGUGUGUGUAUCUGGUUCCUGUUAUAGGUGGAAAGUCAUCUGUCCUCUUGGAUAUGAAACCUUGGGAUGAUGAGACAGACAUGAAGAAGCUGGAAGAGGCUGUCAGGAGGGUGAAGAUGCCUGGCUCUUCUGGGGAGCUUCGAAACUGGUUCCAGUGGGUUACGGGAUUAAGAAGUUGCAGAUCAUGAUGACCAUUGUGGAUGACCUUGUCUCAGUGGACACCCUCAUCGAGGAGCAUCUUCAAGCUGAGCCUAUUAAUGGAUACGUUCAGAGUUGUGACAUCGUCGCCUUCAACAAAAUCUAAGAACAGUGCUUCUGAAGUGCUGUGGUGGAAUGGCCUUUUUGUCGUGAUAAUGUAGUUUUACUUACUAGCAUUCCAUUGCUGUUCUUUAAGCUUUCUUCUGGACAUCUACUUUCAGCAAGGUGAAAGAUGAUACGCCUGCUCUUGAAUUGGAUGUUCUACACUUGUGUGUUGACUCAGAUAGUCUUGUUUGGUGGACGUGUUGUCGUGGUAUAAUCUCAAUUAUUCCCACCUAAUCGAUUUCUUUGAGGGAGA